UGCAGUGUUGGUCUGGCCCUGAUCGUCUGUAGAAUAAUCACCUUUGGAAAACAUAGAGCAGACCUCACCCCGUUCCUUGUCCCUACCCUCAGUGCAGUCCUACCCCCAAGGCAGUCCACCUGUGCUGUAGAGCAGCUGUGCCCUGCAGCCACAGCCCAGAUUCGACAGUUUUCUGGGGGCGGCCCAGUGCCACUGUGGGUGUGGGCAGCUAGUGGGGCUGAAGAAAUGGGGCAGCACAGCACUUCCCAAAUCAGUUCUUCUGUUGCAGUAGAGAGCUGCAGCUGUCAUGCGAGUGCCUGGGAGGUGCUCCUCUCCAUCUCCAGAAGACCAGCCUAACAACGCAGGCAGCGAGAAUUUGAGCCAUGACCUCAGCUCUCCACUUCUGCCCCUAUCUGCCCUGCCAUGGCUGCAGCAGUGUCACGAGGCCAUCCCAAAACGCACCGCUCCUCAACGAGAACCUCUGCCCAUGAGCCCCCUGGUCCUGUUCCCCGGCCAGGACUGAAGCUGAACCUGCUGGUGAAGGUGGUGCAGCUUCCCAAGCCACGUCCAGGACGGAGCCUCUGGGAGAUGCUGAGGGUGUGUCUGCGGGGAGGACUUCUCCAGCUCCUUUGCUGAUUCCUACACAGAAGCCUGGCAACCAUCGCAGAGGUCCUCCGAGGGGGAAGGACCAAGCUACAGGACACCAGAAACCACAUGAUCCAUCCGAAAACAUGAGGCAAAUGCUGAAGGAAAUGCAGCAGGCAGGAGAAGAAGUGGAUGGAGAGGCUUGGCAUAAGGCGGCAUUUCCUGGAGGAAGCAGCGGUUCCGUGCCAACCUUUGCUGUAGGAAGAGAGGCGAUGCCAGGCACAGGCACAGGAGCUAAAGGUUGCUCGGAAGGCUUCUCCAUUAGCUUGGCUGCAUAAAGUUUUGAAGCCCUUGGAGUCUCCUGCAGAUGUGUCUGCAGAGAGGACUUUUCCUGCUCCUUUGCUAAUUCCUAUACGGAAGCCCGGCUCCCAUGGCAGGGGUCCUCUGAGAGGGAAGAACAAAGGCAAAGGACAGAAGAAACCCCACGAGCCAAACAACAUCCUGAAACAAAUCGUGACAGAACUGCACAAAGGGCAUGGUGAAAGCAUUUCCAUUUCCUUCUGCCUUCCCCUGGGACUCAGCAGCCAGGUGCUUUGGCUGCACAUCUGGACAUGCCGUGCCUGGCACAGUGGGAAGGGAUCCAUGGCAGCCUCGCUGCCCCGCUGCUGCUUUCACGCCCUGCAGGGCUGUUUCCCAGCCUGGCCUGGCUGCAGCUUCUGCCCAGCCUCUGCAGGAAGGCAUUUGGCAUCAGCUGACAGGCAGCCCAAACUGCACCACUGGCCUGAAAUCCUCUGCAAUUUCCCAAUUCCCAGGCCCAUCCGGAGGGGUGGCUGCUUGGAGGAGGGAGGGCCAUAGCCAGCCCCAAGGCAUUGGAGGGAUCAGGAUUUUCCUGAUCCUUCUCCAUGACUGGGACGUGUGUUGCCUCCUGAAGAGGCCAGCUCCCCGGUGCAUAAUGAUUCCAUCUGAUCCAGCUGUGCCUCUUCCUUUCUCAAGGGAUGGACAGAGAGGCUCCGUGGAAGGUGGCAUUUCCUGAAGGAAGGGAGGCCAUGCCAGGCACAGGCCCAGGAGGUCUUCCUAGAUGGAAGAACCAAGACGCAGGAGACAGCAAGUCGCUGGAGGGAGCCAAACUUCUGGACAAGAUGCUGAGUGACCUGGAGAGACGUCGUGAGAUGAAACGAAAGGCUCUGCUGAAGACUGAGUUUCCUGGAGGAAGCAGUGGCUCAUUGCCAGCCUCUGCUGCAGGAAGGGAGGCGAUGCCAGGCACAGGCCCAGGAGGUGAGGGUGCUGGGAUAGUUUCUCCAGCAGCUGGGAUGGAAGGUGGUUUGGAACCCUUGGGAGCCUCUGCAGGUGUGUGUGCAGGGAGGACUUUUCAAGCUCCAGGGCUGGUUGCUGCACACAAGCCCAGCUCCCAUCGCAGGGACGUGGACCAAAAACCUUUGCGGAAGGCAGCACUUCCUGGAGGAAGCGAUGGCUCAGUGCCAGCCACCGAUGCACAAAGGGAGGAGAUGCUAGGCAGUGCCACAGAAGACGUUAUCAAUGAAACAGGAAUAUAUGCCCCGGAUCCAGUGCGCCUCCCAAGAAUUGUCUGCCCCCAGGAUGUGCGUAGGACCUGCAUGAUAGGCACGGUGGUGACAGUGAUCACUGUGCCACUUGUGCUGAUAGGCUGCUAUCUUGGCAUUCGCAAGCUGUACGAGCUCAGACGGUCAGUUGUUGAUUUUUCUCCACAGUUUUCUUUAUAACUCUGCUCCUGCAUAGGUAGCCUGACUGGGAGUCAUGCUGCUGUGCAGUUGUGGCCAGUCCAUGAUUUUCCAAAUAAUUCUGCUGAGGGUUCUGCUGCUGCCCAGUGCUUCCAUUGGCCUCUCAAUUGCUGGGUCUUGUCCUGGGGGCCCGCUGGGGCUGCAGCCAGAGCUGGCUCCCACUGAGGCUGCCUGGCCAAGAGCACAGGGCAGAGGCAGAGAAACUUCUGUACAUCAUUUGGGCAGCACAGCUCAGGACAGGACAGGACAGCGCUUUUUUAGUAGCUCGUGUAAAGUUUCAUGGUAACAGUGGUGUUGCAGAUCAAGCAAAUAUGCUCCAGAUCCGUGUUAAAACAAAUCCAAUGUGAUGAAGGUUUGGCUUUGGCUUUGAGACUUUGCUCUUUGUGUGAGCCCUGCUCUGGAUUGAUUCCCAAUCAGUCUUGGAGCUGGUUUUGUGUGAAGGCUCAUCCCAGCCCUGAGCCUUGGCAGUUCUCUGGCCUCAAAGGGAGAGCUGAGGCUGCACUGCACAUGACUGGGGUUCAGGGCUCCAUUAUCAAAGAGCUUUGAGAUGUUUAAAUUACUGUAUUCUUGCUAGAUAGCUUUUAUUAUGAAGUUCAUUCAUUAGAUUUUAAAACUGAGUUGUAAUAAAACUUCUUUUCCAGUGCUUUUUCCAGUUAUUUGAUAUAGUCAGUGAUGGCCUAAUUAUCCCAUGGCUGUAUUAAAAGACUACGCCAAUGAAAACCUGGAUGAUUCCAUUAAAAAAGCUGGAAAGCAGAUCCUGGAGAAGAGGGCAUAAAUCUGCUCCCACCCUCUGGACAGGCCCUUCUGAUUCCUCCCUGAGGAGCAGGCAGUCAUGAAUGUCAGUCAGGGAGGAAUUUGCUGCAGUUCCAGAACGUGGCAUCUUAAAAGCAUCUGCUAUUUAAUGUAUUUGCUAAAUAUAACUGUAAAAAAUAAAAUCUCUUUCUAAUCAAAACUUCAUACA